UUUGAUAUUAUUAUCCCAAGUGUCCUAACAAGCCUGCUUUAUGUUUCCAGCCAUGUUCUGAGGUGUAUUAUACUGUGAUACACUAUGAGAGGACAUGGAUUCAGUGUUGUGUUGGUAAGUUAUUGCUCUCUGGGUUUUUUGAUGGUAUGAGAAUAUAUUAUGUCUGUAUAGAGGACUUGUCAUUCCCUAGGGUUUAUGUACAAGGUUGUAGUAACUGGCUAUGUCUGUUGACAAAGUGAAGUCGUUUUUUGAGUUGUGAUUGGGCAGUUGUUUUUUUAGGUACAAGCCCCAAUUAAGAUCUAAUAUUCUGGCAGGUUCCUACUUCACUUAUAAUUAGGUUAUAUAUAUAUGUACUGAAAAAAGUUUGAUAGGGUGUGUCAUAUAAUUGGCAAAAGAUGUUUCUGUAUAGUAGGGAUCUCUGGAUUUAUGGUGUAGGACUUGGCACAGGGUGAGCACUUUUAUGUGCAGGGUGGCAGAAAAAUAUAAUUUUAUGUUGGUAGACUGAGGUUGUUUAGGUUUGUUCUUAGUCUAGGCAUUCAGCUUUUGUGUUUCAGCUGUUGUGAAGUCCUUCAGUUCACUUGCACACUCAAAGUUUUUGAGUGCAGGUGGCAGAAACAUUAUAGUCAACUUUAUUCUUGGUAUAGUCAUUCAGAUUUUAUUUUUUUCUGAAAAGUUGUGGUUGAACUUUUUAUGACUGUUGCUGAUGAGCCAAUCUAUAUUUGUGGCACCUAAAAACUUCUUUGGACACUUGCAUGAUUUAUGGGCCAAAUGUACUACUGACCAACCAAAAAUAUUGUCUGUAACAGCACAGGACAGAUGGAACUAAAAUGAAAGACUCUUAUGGGUUUAAGUUGGGGUUAUAGUACCUAGAAGCACUGUGCAGAUCCAGAGAGCAGUCCCACAAUUGUCCAGGAGAAUUCUCUGGGAGAGAUCUAACUUCGUAUCUUUUUUUCCUGUUAUUUCAGACCAAUGUUCUGGCUUCUGCGGGGGACUACUGUCAUAUUUCUCCAUGUAGAAAAGCAAGAAUGGUGUCACUGAAUAGAUGAAGGAAUUAUCUAGACUGGAUGUGCUGACACCUCCAAAAUGUACAACACAGUCACUGAGAAAGAGACUCCAAGAGGAAUUAAAUUGUCACACAGUCCCGAUUCAUUUGUGAAAAAAGUGCUUUUCUUAAAUGUGAUUUUUUAAUUGAAUGUGGAAUAAAGUGAGUAUUGAUUAUA